ensembl:snRNA U6 U6 spliceosomal RNA
GUGCUUGCUUUGGCAGCACAUAUACUAAUACAGAGAAGAUUAACAUGGCCCUUGUGCAAGGAUGCCAUGCAAAUUUGUGAAGCGUUCUAUAUGUUU